rnacentral:lncRNA from 1 species
AUUCCGAAGGGUUCUGUGCUAGGAACCUUACACGUGUUGUCUCACAUAAUCCUUAAAACUCAGAAAUGAUUUUAAAUUAAAUAGCACAGAGAGGAAAACUGACUGGAGAGGGAGCCUUUGCUUAGGUAGGCAACUUUAACUGGUUUAUUAGCACAUUCCCCUGAAGGGAAAGGGGGUGUGAUUGCUCCUGAAGAGACCAAAGAGACUGGGCUCCUUUUUAAUCAAAGCUCAGGAGGAGAGCUGCAUUCCACUGUUUCACAGAUGCUGUGAGGGUGACAAAGAUGCAGGGCACCCACUGGAAACACAGACGGCACUCUGCGAAAGAGGAAGGGGCGCCAGGAGCUUGGAUUAGAAAACUGAAGCUUCAAGAACAGACUUGCCUAACAACAGGAAACUUGUAUGUCUCGAAGUGGCAAUUCACACAUAAGGCUCCAUGACUCCUGAACUCUCACAAAUAUUAGUUGGCUCUUUUCAUGGUUUUACUGAAGUUGCUAGAAGUUUACAGAAAA